GGGAUACAAGUACUUGGAGAGAUGCCUUGGUGCUUCGGGACUCGUGAGACAGGUGCUGCAUGGCUGUCGUCAGCUCGUGUUGUGAAAUGUUGGGUUAAGUCCCGCAACGAGCGCAACCCUUAUCCUUUGUUGCCAGCGGUCCGGCCGGGAACUCAAAGGAGACUGCCAGUGAUAAACUGGAGGAAGGUGGGGAUGACGUCAAGUCAUCAUGGCCCUUACGACCAGGGCUACACACGUGCUACAAUGGCAUAUACAAAGAGAAGCGACCUCGCGAGAGCAAGCGGACCUCAUAAAGUAUGUCGUAGUCCGGAUUGGAGUCUGCAACUCGACUCCAUGAAGUCGGAAUCGCUAGUAAUCGUGGAUCAGAAUGCCACGGUGAAUACGUUCCCGGGUCUUGUACACACCGA
rnacentral:rRNA from 1 species